GACGAACGCUGGCGGCGUGCCUAAUACAUGCAAGUCGAACGCAGUGGGGACGGGUGAUUAACACGUGGGUAACCUCCCAUCAGAGGGGAUAACACUUGGAAACAGGUGCUAAACCGCUACUGAUGGAUGGACACGCGGUGCAUUAGCUAGUUGGUGAGGUAACGGCUAACCAAGGCAACGAUGCAUAGCGGGCCUGAGAGGGUGACCGGCCACACUGGAACUGAGACACGGCCCAGACUCCUACGGGAGGCAGCAGUAGGGAAUCUUCGGCAAUGGGCGAAAGCCUGACCGAGCAACGCCGCGUGAGUGAAGAAGGUUUUCGGAUCGUAAAGCUCUGUUGUUAGAGAAGCGUUAUCUAACCAGAAAGCCACGGCUAACUACGUGCCAGCAGCCGCGGUAAUUC
rnacentral:rRNA from 1 species